UGGACCGAACAAUGCAUCCUGCA
rnacentral:miRNA from 1 species